rnacentral:rRNA from 1 species
GACGAACGCUGGCGGCGUGCUUAACAUAUGCAAGUCGAACGGAAAGGCCCUGCUUUUGUGGGGUGCUCGAGUGGCGAACGGGUGAGUAACACGUGAGUAACCUGCCCUUGACUUUGGGAUAACUUCAGGAAACUGGGGCUAAUACCGGAUAGGAGCUCCUGCUGCAUGGUGGGGGUUGGAAAGUUUCGGCGGUUGGGGAUGGACUCGCGGCUUAUCAGCUUGUUGGUGGGGUAGUGGCUUACCAAGGCUUUGACGGGUAGCCGGCCUGAGAGGGUGACCGGCCACAUUGGGACUGAGAUACGGCCCAGACUCCUAAGGGAGGCAGCAGUGGGGAAUAUUGCACAAUGGGCGGAAGCCUGAUGCAGCAACGCCGCGUGCGGGAUGACGGCCUUCGGGUUGUAAACCGCUUUCGCCUGUGACGAAGCGUGAGUGACGGUAAUGGGUAAAGAAGCACCGGCUAACUACGUG